GACGAACGCUGGCGGCGUGCCUAAUACAUGCAAGUAGAACGCACAGUUUAUACCGUAGCUUGCUACACCAUAGACUGUGAGUUGCGAACGGGUGAGUAACGCGUAGGUAACCUGCCUGGUAGCGGGGGAUAACUAUUGGAAACGAUAGCUAAUACCGCAUAAUAUUAAUUAUUGCAUGAUAAUUAAUUGAAAGGUGCAAUUGCACCACUACCAGAUGGACCUGCGUUGUAUUAGCUAGUAGGUGAGGUAACGGCUCACCUAGGCGACGAUACAUAGCCGACCUGAGAGGGUGAUCGGCCACACUGGGACUGAGACACGGCCCAGACUCCUACGGGAGGCAGCAGUAGGGAAUCUUCGGCAAUGGACGAAAGUCUGACCGAGCAGCGCCGCGUGAGUGAAGAAGGGUGUCGGAUCGUAAAGCUCUGUUGUAAGAGAAGAACGGGUGUGAGAGUGGAAAGUUCACACUGUGACGGUAUCUUACCAGAAAGGGACGGCUAACUACGUG
rnacentral:rRNA from 1 species